CCCCUAGAUGUUCUGGGCCGCACGCGCGCUACACUGAACAGUUCAACAAGUCUUAACCUUGGCCGAUAGGUCUGGGUAAUCUUUGAACGCUGUUCGUGAUUGGGAUAGACCUUUGCAAUUAUGGGUCUUCAACGAGGAAUUCCUAGUAAACGCAAAUCAUCAAUUUGCAUUGAUUACGUCCCUGCCCUUUGUACACACCGCCCGUCGCACCUACCGAUUGAAUGGUCCGGUGAAAUCUCGGGAUUGUGGCCAGUUCACUUUAUUGGGAGUUGGCUGCGAGAACUUGCUUAAACCUUAUCAUUUAGAGGAAGGUGAAGUCGUAACA
rnacentral:rRNA from 1 species